rnacentral:rRNA from 1 species
GAGUUUUGAUCAUGGCUCAGGAUGAACGCUAGCUACAGGCUUAACACAUGCAAGUCGAGGGGCAGCAUGGUCUUAGCUUGCUAAGGCCGAUGGCGACCGGCGCACGGGUGAGUAACGCGUAUCCAACCUGCCUUACACUCUUGGACAGCCUUCUGAAAGGGAGAUUAAUACAAGAUGUUAUCAUGAGUAAGCAUUUUCGCAUGAUUAAAGGUUUACCGGUGUAAGAUGGGGGAUGCGUUCCAUUAGAUAGUAGGCGGGGUAACGGCCCACCUAGUCUUCGAUGGAUAGGGGUUUUCUGAGAGGAAGGUCCCCCACAUUGGAACUGAGACACGGUCCAAACUCCUACGGGAGGCAGCA